CCCUUAGAUGUUCUGGGCCGCACGCGCGCUACACUGAUACGUUCAACGAGUGUACUAUUGUUAGUCCUGCUUUGAGAGGAGUGGGUACUCUGGAAAAUCGUAUCGUGCUGGGGAUAGAUGCUUGUAAUUGUUCAUCUUGAACGAGGAACUCCUAGUAAUCGUGAUUCAACAGAUCGCGAUGAUUACGUCCCUGCCCCUUGUACACACCGCCCGUCGCUGCUACCGAUGGAUGGUCAGGUGAGCUGAUUGGAUCGUGACGUUGUGCUGCGCCUUCGGGUGUAGUUCGUCGUGAGAAGAUCAUCAAAUCUUAUUCUCUAGAGGAAGCAAAANUCGUANCA
rnacentral:rRNA from 1 species